AUUGGACGCUGGCGGCAGGCUUAACACAUGCAAGUCGAGCGGUAACAGAGAGAAGCUUGCUUCUCUGCUGACGAGCGGCGGACGGGUGAGAAAUGCCUAGGAAUCUGCCUAGUAGUGGGGGAUAACUUGCCGAAAGGUAAGCUAAUACCGCAUACGUCCUACGGGAGAAAGGAGGGGACCUUCGGGCCUUUCGCUAUUAGAUGAGCCUAGGUCGGAUUAGUUAGUUGGUGAGGUAAUGGCUCACCAAGACCGCGAUCCGUAACUGGUCUGAGAGGAUGAUCAGUCACACUGGAACUAAGACACAGUCCAGACUCCUACGGGAGGCAGCAGUGGGGAAUAUUGGACAAUGGGGGGAACCCUGAUCCAGCCAUGCCGCGUGUGUGAAGAAGGUCUUAGGAUUGUAAAGCACUUUAAGUUGGGAGGAAGAGCAGUUAACUAAUAUUUGACUGUUUUGACGUUACCGACAGAAUAAGCACCGGCUAACUUCGUGCCAGCAGCCGCCGUAA
rnacentral:rRNA from 1 species